AGGCGGACUGCUGCUGUGGCUUUAGUAACAGGGAUCACCAACUCCAGGCUGACUGUCUCUGUGGCUUUAGUAACAGGGAUCAUCAACUCCAGGCUGGCUGUGGGCUUUAGUAACAGGGAUCAUCAACUCCAGGCUAACUAUUGUUGUGGCUUUAGUAACAGGGAUCACCAACUCCAGGCUGACUGUCUGCUGGGGCUUUAGAAACAGGGAUCACAAACUCCAGGCUGACUGUCUGCUGUGGCUUUAGUAACAGGGAUCAUCAACUCCAGGCUGACUGUCUGCUGUGGCUUUGUAACAGGGAUCAUCAACUCCAGGCUGACUGUCUGCUGUGGCUUUAGUAACAGGGAUCACACACUCCAGGCUGACUGUCUGCGUGGCUUUUAGUAACAGGGAUCAUCAACUCCAGGCUGACUGUCGCUGUGGCUUAGUAACAGGGAUCAUCAACUCCAGGCUGACUGUGGCUUUAGUAACAGGAUCAUCACUCCAGGCUACUAGCUGUUUGUGGCUUAGUAACAGGGAUCACCACUCCAGGCUGACGGUCGGCUGUGGCUUUAGUAACAGGGAUCACCAACUCCAGGCUGAUGUCUGCUGUGGCUUUAGUAACAGGGAUCAUCAACUCCAGGCUGACUGUGGCUUUAGUAACAGGGAUCAUCAACUCCAGGCUGACUGUCUGCUGUGGCUUUAGUAACAGGGAUCAUCAACUCCAGGCUGACUGUCUGCUGUGGCUUUGCAGUGUUGUUUACCCUGAUGCUUUAGACACGUGCAGAAACACACACACACACACACGAGCAUAGAAACACAUAGUAACGGACACACUCAAACACAUGCAGUUGCAGAAACAACCUGUAAACACACACUUGCAGAAAAACACAAUUAUACUGUCAUAGUGCUUGCGCUUGUGGAAACUUAGCAACUGUCAACAUACAUUCUCAGGGAUUUCUCAACAAAAAAAGCAAAGGAAAAUAAAAAAGAGAGAAUGAGAGCAUUUUAUUGUACUGUAUAUAUAAUAGUAUAUGUCUGAAUAUUGAAAACAAAUGUAUACGUUAACUAAUUUAUUAAAUCAUAUUCUAUGUAAUGCAAAAUACUUGAAGCUGCAGUACCAUGGUUUUUAUAACCAAAACAUAUCAGAAGGACUUUUAAAACGUGUCGCGUUGCGUCAUCAGGGGCCAGGACAAAGGUCAAAGGUUAG
ensembl:lncRNA